rnacentral:rRNA from 1 species
GUCGAGAAUCUUUCACAAUGGGGGCAACCCUGAUGGAGCGACGCCGCGUGGAGGAUAAGGUCUUCGGAUUGUAAACUCCUGUCAUGCGUGAACAAGGUUGCUUGGAUAAUACCUGAGCAAAUUGAUGGUAGCGCAAGAUGAAGAGACGGCUAACUCUGUGCCAGCAGCCGCGGUAAUACAGAGGUCUCAAGCGUUGUUCGGAAUCACUGGGCGUAAAGGGUGCGUAGGUGGCGUGGCAAGUCAGAUGUGAAAGCCCGGGGCUCAACCUCGGAACUGCAUCAGAUACUGCCAUGCUAGAGUACUGGAGAGGUGACUAGAAUUCUCGGUGUAGCAGUGAAAUGCGUAGAUAUCGAGAGGAAUACCAAAGGCGUAGGCAGGUCACUGGACAGUUACUGACACUGAGGCACGAAGGCCAGGGGAGCGAACGGGAUUAGAAACCCGAGUAGUAC